rnacentral:lncRNA from 1 species
CUCUCUUCACUGCACCACCACUGCCCACCAUAGUCCAGCCAUUGUUUAUCGUCUGCUUCUCCUCCGCAGGAGAGGCCGGUGAGAGCGAGGUCUGCCUGGGUCUGCUAUGGUGCUGGUGCCCAUCAGAAUCAAUGCUUGGGGAUGAAUCGGUGAAGGGGAAUGAAUUUGUUGGAUGAAUCAGUGAAGGGGAAUCCUGUGGCUGACACACUGAGAGGAUCUCCACAAAGUGGAGAAGCCUCUAGAGAAGGCUGAGCCCAAGCAUUUGGGAGGCACAUGUCCCUCACACAGGAUCAAGGGACCACAAGCCAGACAUGGCCUCUGUCCUGAAGGAAGAAGGAUGAUGGGCCAUCAACUACCGUGCACUGCAAUAGGGCUGGGAGCCCAGGAUGGGGCACUCCACCCAAAUGAGGUGGUUGGGAAGGCUUUGUGGGGAGCAACAUUUUUCCUCCAUUAUCUGCAUUCUAGAAAGAAGGCACCAUUUGCACGGAGCCCUGAGGUGGGAAAGAGAGGCCCCUGGAGGAUGCAGAAGCGCAGGUGACUCUGCCUGGCAGGGGGCAGGGGCUGAGGUGCAGUCAGAGAGUCAAUGGGCCAAGCAGGUGCAACACCACCAGGUCCCGGGGAGCUUCCCGGCCACUUCUCUGGUGCAUGGCGAUGAGACUGGGCCUGCCAGGGGCAAGGAGACCUCAGGGUUGGCUCCAACUCAGAGCAGAGGAAAGACAGAGGCAGUGCGCCACCAUCUUCUUCGCCCCCAUCCGCACCUUCCAACAGUUGCCAACAGCAGCCUGGGAGUCUGCAGAGGUAAUCCAGGGCUCCAGGAGGGAUGACCUACUGCAGGAUGGAGGCCCUGGCUGCAGAUCUGGGAACCUCCCUCCUACUGGGAAGAAGCACAUUGCCGUCAUUCAGUCUCUUGUGAGUUGGGUUAUUAUGAGUCUGUUCGCCAGAGUCUGAGCUCUGAAAGGGAUGAGUGACUGGAUUGGUAAGGCAGAGAACUGACCCUCCUUCCAGCUGCAGAGAACUGCCAAGUCCCAUUCUUCGUGACAUCCUUCCUGUGUUGACACAGUGUUCUCCCCUCUCUUUAAAAUAACAACCUUUACUUGACCCUGCUGCCCAGGAACUUUCCUCUAAGAUUCUGCCAGGCUAUGCAGAGGGCAGACGUGAAUGCAGGCUAUAAAUCAGGAGCCCUCGUGACUCUUAGAUCCAUUAAUCCAUCAAGAGAAGAUUUGCUACCUCUUAGUGUUGAGGGAGAGACCAGAAAUCCUCUCACAGGAUUGACUAAAGGCUCAGGCACUACAUUUGAUACAAUUUACGACUCAGCACUUAGUGUGGUGAGCCUCAGGGG